GCCCAACCGUCAUCUGUUUUCUGCUCGCGGUUAUUUGUGUUCAGUGGCACCAGCCAUUUUUUAGCCAACCUGGUUGUCCAGUUUAAGAUAAAGCCUCUUCUUACCCACAACCUGGUAUUCAUCUUUUUUUUUGUUGCGGCCUUGAGCCGGGUCGUAACAGCAGUCAUGAUACAAGUAGUCCUGCUAUCACUCCUUUUUACCUGACGUGUCUAACAGCACCCGCUGAAGGUGGGCCUGUGUCCACAACAGUCUCAUCAGAGAGUGCCUUUAGUAUCAUGGGGAUUUCAGCAAGCCAUCACCUGGUGGAGGGACUCACCCAACCUAGAGCAGGGACAUGCAGUGAAACCAGAAACUGACCCUCAGCUGAUCUUCACAAAUGUGUCCCCCAUUGGCUUGGGCACUGCUCAUAAGGACUGCAGGGUCAACAGCCAUUGGACCAACCACUGAGAAACCCAGCACAUAAAUAUGUUAGCUAAGAGCUGUCCUCCUUGCGCUCCGAUAGUUUCUGCUGAGAUUAAGAGAUGUUAUUGUCAGGACAGACGGAAUGGGUGCAGCACCAUAUAUCAACAGGCAAGAGGCCUAGCCUCUCGUCUCCUUUGCAAGCUGGCAACUCAGUUGUGGCAAUGGGCUCACCCCCUCUUCUCCUUGCUAAGGGCAGUAUAUUAGCUAGUGUUCAGCUUAGCAACUCACACCGAGAGGGGGCUCGAGUUCAGCAGAGUGGAGACUCCAUCCUCAGAGCAAAUCAGCCGUCCCUGUGGAAGGGUAGAGACUCUGUGGAGUCAAAACACUGCCAUCUGUUCUUCUCCCUGCAUAACAAUGAUCCUCCUCUGGCGUGGGAUGCCCUAGCACACCUUCAUACUCUCUGCUACAUCUUCCCUCCGUUUGCUCUCAUUCUUGGUUCAUCAGGUACACCAGGACCAUUUGGGAAAAUGACCAGCUCUUUCUCUGUCAUAACCCUGCGAUUUUGGGUAGACCCUUGCCAAAGCCCAGCAUGUCCCAUUUAGCAGGUGUAUAUGUUCUCACGUACUCCCCUCCCGUUAACAUGCAUGUGUAUAUGUUUGACUGGAAAGACAGUCUCAAAAUGACAGAGAAUGUACGGUUACAUUGUAACCUUUGUUCUCUUAAUGACUGACAUGUCCAACUCUCCAGCUCCAGCAUAGUCAGGCAACCCAUAGUGUCUUAAAGAAGUAUUCCUUCACCCCUUACUACAUAUGGAAUAUGUAACAGAGCAGAGAGCUAGUCUCUUACUCAGGGAACCAAAGUUAUAAGAUAACCAUAAAAUCUGUGAAAAGUGCAGCUGAUGCUCCAGUGGAUUAAUUGCUAGUCAGUGGGCUUUAUGUGUGCUUCCGGCUGCUUGCAGCAAAAAUGUCUCGACAGUGACAGAAAGAGAGAGGAAAAGAAAACAGAAUGGUGAGUGGGAGAAAAUUACCU